rnacentral:rRNA from 1 species
UACGGGGGGAGCAAGCGUUGUUCGGAUUUACUGGGCGUAAAGGGCGCGCAGGCGGCUCAUUUUGUCAGGCGUGAAAGCCCCGGGCUUAACCUGGGAACUGCGUUUGAUACGGAUGGGCUAGAGUUCGGGAGAGGAGAGUGGAAUUCCCAGUGUAGAGGUGAAAUUCGUAGAUAUUGGGAAGAACACCGGUGGCGAAGGCGGCUCUCUGGACCGAGACUGACGCUGAGGCGCGAAAGCAUGGGGAGCGAACAGG